AGGUAUUCCUGUCUAGCGGAAAAGGGAGGGACAUUCCAUCACUUGUAGGAACCGCUGAAAGGAAGAAACACAGCUUCAAGAAUGACGGGAACAGUUUUUCCAGCAGAAGAGUUCGAUGCAGAGGCUGCUGCUGCAGGCAUGCGCGAUGCAAUGACGGGGUUCGGUACUAGCGAGGAGGCCAUAAUCUCGAUUUUGGUGAACCACUCGUUUGAACAGAGGAAAGAAAUUGCAACAGCAUUUAAGACUGCCUACGGAAAGGACCUCAUCGAGGACCUCAAGGACGAACUGGGAGGGAACUUUGAGGACGUGUGUGUCAUGAUGCUGGCCUCACCCCGGGAGACUGACGCGCGCGAACUCAACAAAGCCAUCAGUGUGUGUACCCUCUGCCACCCCCCUCCCCACACAUACAUGCAGACACUGGUCGAGCAGUUUUACUACUGGUCCUAUUUUAAUUAGAUUGAGGCACGGGUCAUAGUUUGCGUUUAAAGGUUACGCCGCCCCUCCUCCCUUUUAGUUUUUAGAAGGUGAAGUUGAAUGCAACCUAGUUGUAAUACGGUCGCAAAACGACGAACUAUCUCGCAUACGCUUGCCUAAACUGACUCAAUGUGGGACAGUUUGGUAACACCUUUUCGUUUUCAUGAAUAAUUUAUGCCAUAUUUCAAUUGGCUCCUUCACAUAUUCAUGAAGGAAGUCUCACAAAUAGUGGAAGAGUUUGGCUCUCUCAUUGGUGUAUUUAACUAUUAAGAUAUCAAUGAAUAUUUGAAAAAUUAGGCGAGUUGGUCCAUGGUAUAAGUAAGUGAUACUCUGAGUUAAAUUCCGAUAAGUAUCUGUUGUUUCAACCAGCUAACGUCACAGGUACAUGCUAGAGAGUAUCAACACCCGCAGGUUAUCAGAUUAGAUAUUUAACCAUCUCCUUGCUCCUUAGCAUGCAUCUAGAGGUUAUCUCAUUUUCAUAGGUGUGAAUAUUUGAAUACGUUUGAUACACUCAUGAAUUUAUAUCACCAGAUCCAGCAUUUAUUUGUACAUUGACUGUGUCUGCUUUAUAGGGAGCCGGUACCGAUGAGACUGUUCUUGUAGAAAUCAUGACAUCCAGAACCAACGAAGAAUUGGACGAAAUAAAGGCAAUUUAUGAAAAGGGUAAACAAAAGCAUCAUUCCAUUUGUCUGUGUUUCCUUAAGCUAAUGCAAUAAAUGAAUGUCACUCUGACGAUCCAUGAACUGACAAAAUAAGAUACUUGUAUUUUCAGAAUUUGAGACGACGUUGGAGGAGGACCUUCAGAGUGACACCAGUGGUUACUUCGGUCGCCUCAUGGUGGCGCUGUGUGCCAAUGGGAGAGAACCCAGCGAGGGGUGGGACAUGGAGGAAGCUGAGGAGUCUGCGCAGAAACUGUACGAGGUAAACAAAACACUUCGCAUACGUCAUUGAUAGAAAGGGCGAUAUAUUUCUCAAAUGUGGUAAUUUUCAUAUCUGUGCAAAUGCAGUUUGAUAUAACAUUCUGAUAAUUGCGUGGUUAGGCAGGAGCCGGUUGUCUUGGGACAGAGGAAGCGGAAAUCAACGCCGUCUUGUGUAUAAAAAGCUACGACCAACUCAGAGCUAUAUUUCACAAAUAUGAUGAACUAAAAGGAAACCCCUUAGAAGAGGACAUUGCCAGCGAGACCAGUGGAAGCCUAAAGGAUGGUUUUCUUGCCAUAGUUGAAGUAGCCAGAUAUAAACCCCGAUUUUUCGCCAGACGAUUACACGACGCAAUGGCGGGCCUUGGAACCAGCGAUGAUGACCUCAUCCGCAUCAUCGUCACCAGGAGCGAGGACGACCUAGAAGAGAUUAAGGAGGAAUAUCAGAAUCUAUAUGAGAAAUCUCUCGCUGAGGCUGUGGCGGACGAGUGCUCAGGGGAUUAUAAAAGAAUGCUCCUGUCGAUCAUCAAGUAGAGGGCGUGGCUUAUACGAACCUUGCACGAAUUUACACAAAUCCUUAUAAAUUUGUUUAAACGUAUACCUAAUAUUUCUUAUAAAAUGUGUUUUUUGGCACAAUAUGAUUAUUUUUUGUUUGUUUUUAUACAACGUACUGAUGUAUAUACCGGUAUUAUUAUAAUGAUUACAUGUCUAUUAAUGGCGAUGUUAGGCAAUGGUAUUGAAAUAAAAUGACGGUAACUUAU
rnacentral:misc_RNA from 1 species